rnacentral:misc_RNA from 1 species
UCCGUGUUAACCACGACAGCCAUGCAGCAUCUGUGAGGCACCCUCGAAGGUCACACGUUUCCGUGCGCUUGCAGCACCAUGUCAAGUCCAGGUAAGGUUCUUCGCGUUGCAUCGAAUUAAAGAACAUGCUCCGCUGCUUGUGCGGGCCCCCGUCAAUUCUUUUGAGUUUUAGCCUUGCGGCCGUACUCCCCAGGCGGAACACUUAUCGCGUUGGCUUCGGCACAGACAGAUUCGACUCCGCCCACACCUAGUGUUCAUCGUUUACGGCGUGGACUAC